GUGAAUUUCAUAAUCCUUAUGACAGAAUUUACCACUAAAUUGCUGCUGUUGUUACAGCUGCAGGAAGACUAGGGGCCUUGAUCCAAAACUCAGCACUAAAAAAGAUCUGGGAACUCAAUACUAGAAAUGAUGUGGGAACGUCAGCCCUGCAGAGGAGCCUAAGAGGGAGAAGGAAGGCAUCUUUUUACCUCUGCCUGCACCUUUUCUGGAGAGCUGGAAGGACACAGCAGCCAUAGCCACAGGUCAAAGGCAGCACAGCACAUCCAACCAAGGAGGUGCUUUCAUUACACUGCACAUCUUGAAGACACGUCGGUGGGAUCGUUGGCACCCACACAUCCCUGAUCCAGACUGAUCUCUGGGGAGCACAGAGCUGCUGUGCCACAUGUUCAGGAAAGCCAGAUGUCGGCAAUAGUUUUCCAAGAGGGGAAUACCCAAAAAGAGCUUUCAAGACUGCGCCCAAAAGAAAUACCUAAGCACAGAUAUGAUGCUAACUUGAAAAACAAAAAGAAAAGGAAUCCCAUUUGGAGCCAAGCUGAAGCCACACAGGAACAACUCAGCAAUACAUAAUGCAAAGGAUUCCAGUGGAUUUGCAAGCAGGAGGAUGAAAUAAGACAGAAAACAGUAGAGAGAAUUCUGGUAUUUCCAUGGAUAUUGAUCUUUUAUUCAUGCUACUGCUAAUGUUGGUCUCACGUUGAUGGAGAUGCAACAAAGAUAAAACAGAGACCCUGAGUCCUACUCAUGUCCCUACGAUUGUCUCUGUAUUUUAUCCAUCAACAUCUGAAUGCUAAUCACUCAAAAAUCCUGAGAGCGGAGACAGACUCCAAGGGCUUCCCCUCAGAAGGCCUAGAGUCACAGUCUGCCUUGUGCUUUCUGCGAUGCCCCUUCAGCGUCAUGUCCCUUCAUUCAUAGCUGGACAGUGUGAGCCAAAGUGGAGGAGAUGUCUUUUCAGCCACACCUGGUAGAAGAAAUCUGCAACCAUGGCACUUGACACAGAUCCUCUUUGAUGCUGAACUGACAAGUUACUUGCAGAGUUUGAAUGGAGCAAAGGGAAAUUUUUCCAGAGGAAGCUACAAAUUUGCAGCAACUGCCAAGGAGGUGUGCAGCCAGUGCAAAGGUGUUACAUCCAGAGGUGCUAAGUACCUGAGCUCCUUCCUGACACCAGUGGGGCAGAAUGCUCUGCAUCUCUCUGAAGCUCUGUGUCUGGACCUCUCUCAGCUGACCCAUGGUUCUUUGUACCUUCUUGCUCCCUGCCUUGGCACCCAGGGCCACAGUUUAUAAAUGCACAGGGUCCAACUCUGCCCCAUCCCCUUGUUGCUGCUGCUGCUGGAACUAUUCACUUUUGGAUGUCUUGCUGAGAGAAGCUUUGGGAUAUCUUUGCAACAGAUAUAACAAACGGGUUUGUGUCUUAAAUCAGGAGGUGGACAUCAUUUCUGACAGAAGUGAGACCUAAUAUUCCUCAAAGAUUUCUUCUAAUGGAGACAAGAAAUGUGAAGAUGAUAACACAAAUAUUCAUACUGAGAGAUGAAAAUAAGGGGAAUAAGAAUCCUCUGAAUUUCAGGUUCUCAGAGAAUAAAUUCAGGAUCCAGGAAGAGAAACACUACGGUAACCUGGGUAAAACUCUUUCCUAAGUAGGCUUCUUUUUACUUUGGACUUUAUACUUUUUACUUGCCUUCUUCUCUUUUUUUCUUUUUUUUUUUUUCCUGGUAACUCUGCCUCUGAAGACUUUGAGUAUGUGACUGACCAGAGGAUCUGGUUGUAGAAGAGAUUAUAGAACAAAAUGACAGAAUGGUCCAGUCAUCAAGACUCAGCAGUAUUUAAAAGAACUGAAAGAUAAAAUACUGGAAUCAAUAAGGGUGCUAUGAAACUAAUUUUUUAAAACUGUACUUCUUCUUGAAGAUUGGAAAGAGAC
ensembl:lncRNA